AGCAGUAGCCGCGGGAAUACGUAGGGUGCAAGCGUUAAUCGGAAUUACUGGGCGUAAAGCGUGCGCAGGCGGUUAUAUAAGACAGAUGUGAAAUCCCCGGGCUCAACCUGGGAACUGCAUUUGUGACUGUAUAGCUAGAGUACGGCAGAGGGGGAUGGAAUUCCGCGUGUAGCAGUGAAAUGCGUAGAUAUGCGGAGGAACACCGAUGGCGAAGGCAAUCCCCUGGGCCUGUACUGACGCUUAUGCACGAAAGCGUGGGGAGCAAACAGGAUUAGAUACCCCGGUAGUCCCUGUCUCUUAUAC
rnacentral:rRNA from 1 species